UCUCCGUUGGUGAACCAGCGGAGGGAUCAUUACAGAGUUGCAAACUCCCAAACCAUUGUGAACGUUACCUAUCCCGUUGCUUCGGCGGGCGGCCCGGGCCCCGCGCCCGGCGCCCCCCGGCCCCCCGUGGGCGCCCGCCGGAGGUAAACCAAACCCUUGAAUUGCAUGGCCUCUCUGAGUCUUCUGUACUGAAUAAGUCAAAACUUUCAACAACGGAUCUCUUGGUUCUG
rnacentral:misc_RNA from 1 species